UACAGGGGGGGCAAGCGUUGUUCGGAAUUACUGGGCGUAAAGGGCUCGUAGGCGGCCAACUAAGUCAGACGUGAAAUCCCUCGGCUUAACCGGGGAACUGCGUCUGAUACUGGAUGGCUUGAGUUUGGGAGAGGGAUGCGGAAUUCCUGGUGUAGCGGUGAAAUGCGCAGAUAUCAGGAGGAACACCGGUGGCGAAGGCGGAUCUCUAGGCCGAUACUGACGCUGAGGAGCGAAAGCGUGGGGAGCGAACAGG
rnacentral:rRNA from 1 species